rnacentral:rRNA from 1 species
AAUUCCAGCUCCAAUAGCGUAUAUUAAAAUUGUUGCAGUUAAAAAGCUCGUAGUUGAAUUUCUGCUGCAUCGCUGUGUCCCUUCGGGGUCUCUGCAUGUGGCUUAUUUCAGACGGAGUUUACUUUGUCUGGAUGUUUACUUUGAGAAAAUUAGAGUGCUCAAAGCAGGCUUUUGCCUUGAAUAGUUUAGCAUGGAAUAAUAAAGUAGGACUUUGGUUCUAUUUUGUUGGUUUUAGGUACCAAAGUAAUGGUUAAUAGGAACAGUUGGGGGCAUUCGUAUUUAACUGUCAGAGGUGAAAUUCUUAGAUUUGUUAAAGACGAACUACUGCGAAAGCAUUUGCCAAGGAUGUUUUCAUUAAUCAAGAACGAAAGUUAGGGGAUCGAAGACGAUCAGAUACCGUCGUAGUCCUAACCAUAAACAAUGCCGACUAGAGAUUGGAGGUCGUCAGUUUUUACGACUCCUUCAGCAC